rnacentral:lncRNA from 1 species
AACGUAAGCAUCGACAAUAGACGUUUUUAUACUGAGCCCGGUCUUUGGUGAGAGCUACCCACCCUGCAGUCUAUAGUAACUUGUCAUUUUGGGAUACCGGCCCGCCGUAUCCCGUGUCUAUUCAUCGGAGCAACGUUACUGUUUCGACUCUUCUAUACUAGACCAUGAAACCAUUUAAUGACUCGAGGAAUGCACAUAAAUUAAAGAUCUUAAUACACCAUUCAAAUAAACAGUAAUAAUUUCAAGUACGUCAUUCACAUAAUU